rnacentral:rRNA from 1 species
GACGAACGCUGGCGGCGUGCUUAACACAUGCAAGUCGAACGGUAAGGCCCUUCGGGGUACACGAGUGGCGAACGGGUGAGUAACACGUGUGUGAACUGCCCUGCACUUCGGGAUAAGCCUGGAAACUGGGUCUAAUACCGGAUAGGACCACUGCCUGCAUGGGUGGUGGUGGAAAGCUUUUGCGGUGUGGGAUGGGCCCGCGGCCUAUCAGCUUGUUGGUGGGGUGAUGGCCUACCAAGGCGACGACGGGUAGCCGGCCUGAGAGGGUGACCGGCCACACUGGGACUGAGAUACUGCCCAGACUCCUACGGGAGGCAGCAGUGGGGAAUAUUGCACAAUGGGCGCAAGCCUGAUGCAGCGACGCCGCGUGAGGGAUGACGGCCUUCGGGUUGUAAACCUCUUUCAACACCGACGAAGCGCAAGUGACGGUAGGUGCAGAAGAAGGACCGGCCAACUACGUGCCAGCCGCCGCAGUAAAAC